rnacentral:rRNA from 1 species
UUAAGUGACUAAGCGUACACGGUGGAUGCCUGGGCAGUCAGAGGCGAUGAAGGACGUACUAACUUGCGAUAAGCGCAGAUAAGGCAGUAAGAGCCGUUUGAGUCUGCGAUUUCCGAAUGGGGAAACCCAACUGCAUAAGCAGUUACUGUUAACUGAAUACAUAGGUUAACAGAGGCAAACCGGGGGAACUGAAACAUCUAAGUACCCCGAGGAGAAGAAAUCAACCGAGAUUCCGGUAGUAGCGGCGAGCGAACCUGGAUUAGCCCUUAAGCACUCGGUGAAGUAGGUGAACAAGCUGGAAAGCUUGGCGAUACAGGGUGAUAGCCCCGUAACCGACGCUUCAUCGAGCGUGAAAUCGAGUAGGGCGGGACACGUGAUAUCCUGUCUGAAUAUGGGGGGACCAUCCUCCAAGGCUAAAUACUCCUGACUGACCGAUAGUGAACCAGUACCGUGAGGGAAAGGCGAAAAGAACCCCUGUGAGGGAGUGAAAUAGAACCUGAAACCGUGUACGUACCAAGCAGUAGGAGCACCUUCGUGGUGUGACUGCGUACCUUUUGUAUAAUGGGUCAGCGACUUAUAUUCAGUGGCAAGGUUAACCGUAUAGGGGAGCCGUAGCGAAAGCGAGUCUUAACUGGGCGCUCAGUCUCUGGAUAUAGACCCGAAACCGGGUGAUCUAGCCAUGGGCAGGUUGAAGGUUGAGUAACAUCAACUGGAGGACCGAACGACUAAUGUUGAAAAAUUAGCGGAUGACUUGUGGCUAGGGGUGAAAGGCCAAUCAAACUCGGAGAUAGCUGGUUCUCCCCGAAAGCUAUUUAGGUAGCGCCUCGGACGAAUACUACUGGGGGUAGAGCACUGUUAAGGCUAGGGGGUCAUCCCGACUUACCAACCCUUUGCAAACUCGAAUACCAGUAAGUACUAUCCGGGAGACACACGGCGGGUGCUAACGUCCGUCGUGGAGAGGGAAACAACCCAGACCGCCAGCUAAGGUCCCAAAGUAUUGCUAAGUGGGAAACGAUGUGGGAAGGCUCAGACAGCUAGGAUGUUGGCUUAGAAGCAGCCAUCAUUUAAAGAAAGCGUAAUAGCUCACUAGUCGAGUCGGCCUGCGCGGAAGAUGUAACGGGCUAAGCAAUACACCGAAGCUGCGGCAAUGUCUUUUAGACAUUGGGUAGGGGAGCGUUCUGUAAGCCGUUGAAGGUGAAUCGUAAGGUUUGCUGGAGGUAUCAGAAGUGCGAAUGCUGACAUGAGUAACGACAAAGGGGUGAAAAACCUCCUCGCCGGAAGACCAAGGGUUCCUGUCCAACGUUAAUCGGGGCAGGGUGAGUCGACCCCUAAGGUGAGGCCGAAAGGCGUAAUCGAUGGGAAACGGGUUAAUAUUCCCGUACUUCUGACUAUUGCGAUGGGGGGACGGAGAAGGCUAGGUGGGCCAGGCGACGGUUGUCCUGGUUCAAGUGCGUAGGCUUGAGAGUUAGGUAAAUCCGGCUCUCUCUAAGGCUGAGACACGACGUCGAGCUACUACGGUAGUGAAGUCAUUGAUGCCAUGCUUCCAGGAAAAGCCUCUAAGUUCAGAUAGUCAGGAAUCGUACCCCAAACCGACACAGGUGGUCGGGUAGAGAAUACCAAGGCGCUUGAGAGAACUCGGGUGAAGGAACUAGGCAAAAUGGUACCGUAACUUCGGGAGAAGGUACGCUCUUGAUGGUGAAGUCCUCGCGGAUGGAGCUGACGAGAGUCGCAGAUACCAGGUGGCUGCAACUGUUUAUAAAAACACAGCACUGUGCAAAAUCGCAAGAUGACGUAUACGGUGUGACGCCUGCCCGGUGCCGGAAGGUUAAUUGAUGGGGGUUAGCGCAAGCGAAGCUCUUGAUCGAAGCCCCGGUAAACGGCGGCCGUAACUAUAACGGUCCUAAGGUAGCGAAAUUCCUUGUCGGGUAAGUUCCGACCUGCACGAAUGGCGUAAUGAUGGCCACGCUGUCUCCACCCGAGACUCAGUGAAAUUGAAAUCGCUGUGAAGAUGCAGUGUACCGCGGCUAGACGGAAAGACCCGUGAACCUUUACUACAGCUUGGCACUGAACAUUGAACCUACAUGUGUAGGAUAGGUGGGAGGCUAUGAAGACGUGACGCCAGUUGCGUUGGAGCCGUCCUUGAAAUACCACCCUUGUAUGUUUGAUGUUCUAACUUAGACCCGUUAUCCGGGUUGAGGACAGUGCCUGGUGGGUAGUUUGACUGGGCGGUCUCCUCCCAAAGAGUAACGGAGGAGCACGAAGGUGGGCUAAUCACGGUUGGACAUCGUGAGGUUAGUGCAAUGGCAUAAGCCCGCUUAACUGCGAGAAUGACGGUUCGAGCAGGUGCGAAAGCAGGUCAUAGUGAUCCGGUGGUUCUGUAUGGAAGGGCCAUCGCUCAACGGAUAAAAGGUACUCCGGGGAUAACAGGCUGAUACGCCCAAGAGUUCAUAUCGACGGCGUGUUUGGCACCUCGAUGUCGGCUCAUCACAUCCUGGGGCUGAAGUCGGUCCCAAGGGUAUGGCUGUUUCGCCAUUUAAAGUGGUACGCGAGCUGGGUUUAGAACGUCGUGAGACAGUUCGGUCCCUAUCUGCCGUGGGCGUUGGAAGAUUGAAGGGGGCUGCUCCUAGUACGAGAGGACCGGAGUGGACGAACCUCUGGUGUUCGGUUGUGUCGCCAGACGCAUUGCCCGGUAGCUAAGUUCGGAAUUGAUAAGCGCUGAAAGCAUCUAAGCGCGAAGCGAGCCCUGAGAUGAGUCUUCCCUGACAGUUUAACUGUCCUAAAGGGUUGUUCGAGACUAGAACGUUGAUAGGCAGGGUGUGUAAGCGUUGUGAGGCGUUGAGCUAACCUGUACUAAUUGCCCGUGAGGCUUAACCAU